rnacentral:tRNA from 1 species
UGCCCCGUGGUGUAAUUGGUAACACGAGUGACUCUGAAUCACUUAUCUCUGGUUCGAGCCCAGACGGGGCAGCCA